GAAGCGUUAGUAAAUCAUUAUAUUACCUUGUCAAGAUAAAGUUACAGGUGGGAUCCCUGUACGCUUCU
rnacentral:tRNA from 1 species